GACGAACGCUGGCGGCGUGCUUAACACAUGCAAGUCGAACGGAAAGGCCCUGCUUUUGUGGGGUGCUCGAGUGGCGAACGGGUGAGUAACACGUGAGUAACCUGCCCUUGACUUUGGGAUAACUUCAGGAAACUGGGGCUAAUACCGGAUAGGAGCUCCUGCUGCAUGGUGGGGGUUGGAAAGUUUCGGCGGUUGGGGAUGGACGCGCGGCUUAUCAGCUUGCUGGUGGGGUAGUGGCUUACCAAGGCUUUGACGGGUAGCCGGCCUGAGUGGGUGACCGGCCACAAUGGGACUGCGAUACGGCCCAGACUCCUACGGGAGGCAGCAGUGGGGAAUAUUGCACAAUGGGCGGAAGCCUGAUGCAGCAACGCCGCGUGUGGGAUGACGGCCUUCGGGUUGUAAACCGCUUUCGCCUGUGACGAAGCGUGAGUGACGGUAAUGGGUAAAGAAGCACCGGCUAACUACGUG
rnacentral:rRNA from 1 species